UUUAAUAUGGCAGAAUUAGUGCAAAAGAUUUAAAUUCUUUAAAUAAAGACUUCUUUUAUUAAAA
rnacentral:tRNA from 1 species